AAUACUGGACACCAAGUUAAAAUGGAAUUUCAGACAAACAGCAAAUACUUUUUAAGUAUAAGUAUGUUCCGUACAAUACUUGGGACAUACUUAUACUAAAAAAGUAUUUGCUGUUUAUCUGAAAUUCUAAUUGAACUGGACAUCCUGCAUUUU
rnacentral:miRNA from 1 species